AGUGAACGCUGGCGGUAGGCCUAACACAUGCAAGUCGAACGGCAGCACAGGAGAGCUCGCUCUCUGGGUGGCGAGUGGCGGACGGGUGAGGAAUACAUCGGAAUCUACUCUGUCGUGGGGGAUAACGUAGGGAAACUUACGCUAAUACCGCAUACGACCUACGGGUGAAAGCAGGGGACCUUCGGGCCUUGCGCGAUUGAAUGAGCCGAUGUCGGAUUAGCUAGUUGGCGGGGUAAAGGCCCACCAAGGCGACGAUCCGUAGCUGGUCUGAGAGGAUGAUCAGCCACACUGGAACUGAGACACGGUCCAGACUCCUACGGUGGGCAGCAGUGGGGAAUAUUGGACAAUGGGCGCAAGCCUGAUCCAGCCAUACCGCGUGGGUGAAGAAGGCCUUCGGGUUGUAAAGCCCUUUUGUUGGGAAAGAAAUCCAGCUGGCUAAUACCCGGUUGGGAUGACGGUACCCAAAGAAUAAGCACCGGCUAACUUCGUGCCAGCAGCCGCAGUAA
rnacentral:rRNA from 1 species